CCUACGGGAGGCUGCAGUGAGGAAUAUUGGUCAAUGGACGAGAGUCUGAACCAGCCAAGUAGCGUGAAGGAUGACUGCCCUAUGGGUUGUAAACUUCUUUUAUAAAGGAAUAAAACGAGGCACGUGUGCCUUUUUGCAUGUACUUUAUGAAUAAGGAUCGGCUAACCCCGUGCCAGCAGCCGCGGUAAUACGGAGGAUCCGAGCGUUAUCCGGAUUUAUUGGGUUUAAAGGGAGCGUAGAUGGGUUGUUACGUCCGUUGUGAAAGUUUGCGGCUCAACCGUAAAAUUGCAAUUGAUACUGGCAGUCUUGAGUACAGUUGAGGUAGGCGGAAUUCGGGGUGUAGCGGUGAAAGGCUGAGAUAUCACGAAGAACCCCGAUUGCGAAGGCAGCUUACUAAACUGUGACUGACAUUGAUGCUCGAAAGUGUGGGUAUCAAACAGGAUUAGAUACCCGGGUAGUC
rnacentral:rRNA from 1 species